rnacentral:lncRNA from 1 species
AACAGAACUUUAAUGGCAGGGAAGGGUUCGGGGCAGAGUCACAGGCAGGGAGCACAAAGGACGAUUCCCAGGGCUCUGGGAAGCGCUGCAGAUCCACAAAGGCCGGAGAAGGCGAUUCCUGAGAUGUCCUUGGCUUGCAGCUUCUCCAGGAGCUGAGCCCAGCCCGCGGCUGCUGCCGGGGGAGCCGGGGCUGCCUCAGAAAUAAAAGGAGCCGCAGUUUCCUCCUCCAAAGCGGGAGCUGAAGGUUCUUCUUCUCCCAAAGGAUCGGCUCCCUCCGUAGGAGCCCCCGGAGCCAAAGGAUCGGCCCCCGCCGUAGGAGCCCCCAAAGGAACCGCCUCGGCAGGAACCCCCAAAGGAACCGCCUCCGUAGGACCCCCCCAUGGAGCCGCCCCCGUAGGAGCCCCCCAUUCCCCCCAUGGAGCCGCCUCCGUAGGAUCCCCCAAUUCCCCCCAUGGAGCCGCUGCCCCCUCCGUAGGAGCCCCCAAGGGCGCCUCCAGAUCCAGAAGAUCCCAGGGCUCCCGAUGGGAAGGAGGUGCCCACGAUGCUCUCCUGGGGGCAGGAGCUGAGGAUGGGCCCCGGGAAGGUGAUGACCACGGGCGGGGGGUGGAUGACGGCCCGGGAGUCCCCGCAGGAGGUGACACAGGGCUGGCUCCAGGCGUCCGCGUAGGGCUGGGGACAGGACACCUCGCACGGGGACGAGCAGCCGCUGCUCAUCAUCGCUCCUGACGACAUUCUUGGGAUGGACGGCGACCUGCGGCAGCACAGCAAUCAGAACCGCAGUGCCCAGAACUCCAGAGGAAAAA